rnacentral:tRNA from 1 species
GCAUUGGUAGUUCGGUGGUAGAAUUCUUGUCUUUCAUGUGGGAGAUGUGGGUUUGAUUCCCAGCCAAUGCA